ACCAACACACAGCCAGGCAUGCAGCGCAAAGUUGCCUGUUUUCCUGCCCCAUCUCCUGCUUUACUGUGCUGAGCUGGGACAGCGUGUGUGAAGCAGCCCAAGCCCACAUCCUAGCUGCACCCAGGUUGUGGGCACCAGAGCGGUGGUCUGAGGAACAGAGGUGCCCUCUCCUUGAUGCAGGGACAUCUGUGUAAUGACAACUCUCCCCACUGGAGCAAAGGCUUGAAUUUCUCCACUUUGAAUGCUCUAAGAUGUCUCUGACCCAGACCAAAAAACAUGUUGCUGGUUCCACUAAGCUAUCUCUGACCAGCCACACAUGCCCACACCCUGACGUUUCUUUCGUGACACACGUCCCUUCCAGAAAUGACCUGGCGCAUGCACUUGCCACUGUCUGUGCCUGACUUGCAGAAGGUGCAAACCGUUCACUGCUGGCCCCAUAACCCAGUCCAGCGCCUGACACCCCGAAGGCAAUGGAUACGGAUUUGCUGGGUUGACUGGAGUCGGUGGAAGAGAGCAGAGUCUGGUACGAGACCACGCACGCCCAGAGGGUGGGAGGAGGAGUUCCCUGGUAACUAGUGCACAGAGGAUGAGCUGAAGGACUUGUAAGAUGGUUAGAUCCCUACCUCAUGCCACCCACGGAAACAGAGUCCAGGUGGAGGGAUGGCUUUACAGAGAGCAUGGGGACCUAACUGCAAAGAAAAAGAAACAUGAUAUUUUAAUAAAAAUGUGCUGGAGAAAUUUUU
rnacentral:lncRNA from 1 species